rnacentral:lncRNA from 1 species
GACUUAUAAACCAUUCAUCUUCAGGAACAAGCUUGAGCAAUGGCAAGAAGAAUUCUCACUGUGCCUUAGCCAUUAAUUGCGAGUGCUUCAUGAUUCGAAGUGAAAGCUUGGACAUCAUUAUCAAGUGGAUCACCAAAUCCUAAGCUCUCUCGAUCAACCAGCUUCCAUACCCUACAUCUUAGUUGGCGACGUUGACUUCGCUCGGGUGCAGUUAUGUUGUCUUCUCCGACUACUUUUUGCUAGCUUCGAAGCGGAAAAAGAGAAGAAGCAUGGAGACUUGGCCGUGUGGAGAUUCCCACCACCUAUAGUUCUGUCUUCGAUCGGUAAAGCAGCUAUGUUGUGUCAUGGUGAUAAGAUCAAAGGAAGCAUGAUUCCAUCUCCCUUAUCUCUGGACUUGACGAAAGACAGGAAAAGGAAUGAAUUCUUAUUCUCAAAGCACUCCAAAGGUCCACAUUUCUUUUCUUCCUCUUGUCAGCAAACCAUACAAAAGUUCCAAUAUAUCUUAUUAUUAUUACAGCUUUUUGUGAUAGCAUUUCUUGCACUCAUGAAAGAUUUAUUUGCAUACAUAUAAGUAAUGUGACGCAUCACACCAUCGACAUCAAAUAGGUAGGUAGAUAUAUAAGAUGAUCACACAACAGCCUUGGAGGCCUUGAUGUCCUCGCCACCCUUGUCGGCCUCCUGCGCGAUGUUGAUCAGCCUCGGCUGCCUCCUUGUCCCCUCGACGAGCUUCGGCACCGUCACCC